rnacentral:lncRNA from 1 species
CUGACCCCAUGCCUGCUAGAUAGGGGCAGCACAUGCAAGUAGGGCCCACUCUGCCCAUGAAACCAGCCCAGCCCUCACCCUGCAGCUCUGGCACAGGAGCUCCAGCCCCAGGACUCCCAGGUGUCCACUCAGUGAUCGCACUCAACACAGACGCUCACCAUGGAGACUGGGCUGCGCUGGCUUCUCCUGGUCGCUGUGCUCAAAGGUGUCCAGUGUCAGGAGCAGCUGGAGGAGUCCGGGGGAGGCCUGGUCAACCCUGGAGGAUCCCUGACACUCACCUGCAAAGCCUCUGCAUUCUCCCUCAGUAGCUAAAACAUACAAUGGGUCCGCCAGGCUUAGGGAAGCGGCUGGAGUGGAUCGGAUGGAUUAGUAGUGGUGGUAGCACAUGGUACGCGAGCUGGGCGAGUGGCUGAUUCACUAUCUCCAGCGAUAACGCCCAGAGCACAGUUUGCCUACAACCGAACAGUCUGACAGCCGCAGACUCCGGCUUGUAUUACUGUGCCAGAGACAGAGUGAAGGCCCUCAGGGUGAACCCAGACACAAACCUCCCUGCUGGGGUGCGAGGCUCCACCAGAAGGCGCAAAAGACGCACCGAGGGAAUCAGACCCAGGACCAAAUGCAAUGGGAGGUGAAUCGCUGGCUCCGGUCCGGAAAUUGGGGUUUGUGGUCCUCUAAACCUUUCCUACAUUCUGAUCUGGAUGGAUGAUUCUGUCCCUAACACCGAUCACUGAGCAGAAGUUUUGGUAUCACCGCAAGAUGUCAGAUGAAGAAAAUGGAGUCGUUUCUGGAGGAAUGAAUGACAUCUCUGGGGUCCCCAGUAUCUGAGACCUGAGGGACCUCUGGGCAUUCGGGGAGGCUUUUCCAGUUUGUACCAUCAUGCAGUACCCGAGAUAGGAGGUGUAUGGAGCAAAAAGGUUUAUUGAGCUCACAGCAGUAGAGGCUGGAAGUCCAGGAUCAGACAGUGAGAAUGUUGUGCCAUCAGCCAUCAUAAUAUUGUGAACAGCAAGGCAGUCUUCAGGCAUUCUAUUAUUGUGAACACGGAUGGGAGGGACCCCAUCCCCACACAGGACGUCAGACGAGACCAGGGCUGACUCUAGCAGCACUGUGCUCUGUGCUGAAGCUGGGGAUCCAGGAGAUCUACUGUGAUCUCCUCCAUAGCAGAUUCCCCAGAAGUGAACUAUCUAUUUCUGUAAACAUCCAGACCGUGCACCCCCUGCCAGUGCUGGUACGUUGGGGUCAUGCUCAGCACUGAUGCUGUGAGGAGAAAACACAUCCACCCCCACAGGCUACUCCCAGCAUUCCGUGUGG